rnacentral:rRNA from 1 species
UAGGAAGUUCUUAAUAAUUAGGUAUUUUUUUAAAAAUUUAAUAAAUUAAAAUAAUUUUAUUUAAAAUUAAUUCAGUAUAUAUGUAGAAAGAUUAAUUAAUUUGAUAGUUUAUAGUAUUGUGAGAGAAAGGAAAUUUUAAGAAAAAAGUAAUUUUUGUUAAUGUAUCUUGGGUAUCAGAGUAGAUUAAUUAAAUAAUUUAAAUAAUUAUUCUCGAAAUAAAGAGAGAUAUAAGUUUAUAGAUUUUAAUGUUAAAAAAUUAUUUCUUAUAAAUUUAUAGAAAUGAAAAGUUAUUCGGUCUUUAUAAUAUCUAGUUUUUUAAGAAAUAAAUUAAAUUUAGGAUUGAUGCAAAUUUUGAAUUAAAUGUCUAUUUAAUGGAGAAGAUUAAUUUAUCAGUCAGAUAUUCUUAGGGAUAAGCUUAAGAGUAAAAAAAUAUAUAAUACUUAAGAAGAGUAAAAUUUAUAUAAAUAAAAUUUUUAAUUAGGUGAAACUUAUUAUAAAGAUUUUUAUAUUUAAUAUUUUUUUGAGUUAAAUUAUAGUUUAUAUUAAAAAUUUUGAUUAAACUUUAUAGUUAAAGGUUUAAUGAUUUAAUUAGUAAAAAUAUUUUUAAGUUAGUGAGUUAGUUUAAAUUUAUAAUUUAAUAAUUCGGCAAAUUUUUGAUUUAUAUCCACCUGUUUAAUAAAAACAUGUCUAAAAGAAUUAAUUUUUAGUCUAAUCUGCCCACUGAAUUAUAUUUAAAGGGCUGCAGUAUUUUGACUGUACUAAGGUAGCAUAAUCAAUAGUUUCUUAAUUGGAAACUGGAAUGAAUGAUUGAAUGAGAUAUAAGCUUUUUUUGUUAUAAAAAUUUUUAAUUUAAUUUUUUAGUUAAAAAGCUAAAAUUUUUUAAAAAGACGAGAAGACCCUAUAGAUUUUAAUAUUUUAUGAAAUUUAAAAUUUUUAUAAAUUAUUUAGUUGGGGUGACUAAAAAAUUAAAUUAAUUUUUUUUUAGAUUUAUACAUUAAUGAAUGGAUUAUUAUUCUAGUAAUAUUAAUUUUAGUGAAAAUUACCUUAGGGAUAACAGCAUAAUUUUAACUUUCAGUUCUUAUGAAAUUUAAAGAUUGUGACCUCGAUGUUGGAUUAAGAUUAAAUAUGAAUGCAAAAGUUUAUAAUUUGAGUCUGUUCGACUCUUUAAAUCUUACAUGAUCUGAGUUUAAACCGGUGUGAGCCAGGUUGGAUUCUAUCUUUUGUUAAAAUUAGAUAUUUUAGUACGAAAGGAUUUGAUAUUUAUAUUUAAUAUUUUAAUUGAAUAAAAUUAAU